GAUAUGGGUGUGUCAAAUAACGUGGAUAAUAAGUCGAGAUUUUUUAAAGCACUAUAGAUUCAGCUAAAGACGCUCCUCCACCGAAGCAGCAACCAAUGAUGUAUAUUUGUGGAGUUAAAAUGUAAAAUUGAAAGCUUUACAUCUUACUAUACACAUGUUGGGCCUGAGCUGUAUCUUGACCAGACUAUGCUCAUCAGGAUGAAAUAUAAAGCCAAC